ensembl:lncRNA
GUUGCUAACCAGGUGGUCCAGGCACUCCUCACACAAAAGGACUUGAAAGAGGAAUGCGUGAAACUGCGGACCCGUGUGUUUGACUUGGAGCAACAGAACCGUAUACUGAGUGUGCUGUUUCAACAACGUGUCAAAAUGUCUGCUGUUCCCAUCUCCCAGGAGGGCCAAAGAAAUGGAAAAGCAGGCAUUCCUUCAGGAAGGUGGCCAAGCCUGCUGAGCCUCACGUGCCCCCGCAGCAGUGGGAGCGGCAGCGGCAGUGAACUGUCACUGUCCAGUGCAUGCAGUGAAUUCUCCACUGGCUCCCACACUUGGGCAGAAGGGCGUGGCUCCUCUAAGCAAAAUGCUUCAAGCCGGGACAAACGGUUGAGUAAUGGCUCCGUAUCCAGCAAUCAUUCUGCACCCACUGAGCAAAAAGACAUUGGCUGGAAGGAGGGGCAUAUUUUAAAAGGCCUAAAGCGUCUUCAAAUGAGCAACUCCAAGGAUGCAUCUUCACUUGCUUCUGAACCACACUGCAAAGAUUGCAUGACCUCCAAUGAGGGUAUUUAUUCUCUUGGUGUUAAGUGUGGACAACAAGCGAUUGUAGCUAAGCAGGGAAUCCCUUCAAAUAAGCCUUUUAAAGGAAAAUCAGAGGUUGCCACUCUGGAAUCGGAUGAUCCAGAUGAGGACUCACCAAGGGAGUCUAGAGAUCAACCAAAGAAGGAGCAUCUUUGUUUGGAGAAAUUGGAUCAUGGGAAUGAUGACAGCUUUCAAGAAGACUCCUUGGGACGUUCAGGUAUUUCUGGUCUUUUCCCAUCACCUGGUUCUGACAAGUUCUUAUUUUUGGAGGGCCCAUCAGUGAAACCUGGUGUGAGCCCAUCUGAUAGCCUCACACAUCUGGAAGACACAAACACAAACUCGUUGGAGAAGCACAGGACAUCAAGCCUAAAGUUCAGUGACAGAAAUAAUAACCAGGAGCGGUACAGUGAACGUAAAUCCAGACUUGAUGAUAACAAAAGACAACAGGAAAUAAACUCACAUAAGCAAGUGGAAACAGUCACAAAUGGCGUAGACUUGUCUAUUCAACAUGCUGCUAUGAGAGCUCUUAGCUACACGCAUGAUUCAAGACAGCGCAGCUCCUCAGUGGAGGUCCCUCACUGCAGAGAGCAAGCUCAUCAAGCUCAAAGUGAAACCAAAGAUUCCACCAUCUUGGAGUCUCCACAGAGGAAGCCAUUGCCCCCAGUGUGUGACUCUGCAAGGAACGCUUUCAUUCUCCGGAGCAAAAGCGCAGAUGGAGGGCAAGAAAAACUCAAGCAUUCUCCUCUACACCAAAAGCUUAUAAAAGGUCAAAGAGCAAAAGGACAGACAAACCAAAACCUUUCAGGACACAGUGUUUCUAGCAAAAGGACAAAUGUCAACAAACCCUAUGGCUCUUGUCAGGAAACAUUGUCCAAAUCUGAGGAAGUUGGAGAUUCUAUAAUAUCAUCUAGUUCCAAGUCUGUUGAGAAUGUACAGCACGGCUCUCCUCUUGCAUCUCCUGUGAAACAAUCAAAGGUUGUCAAGAACUCAGGCAUCAACGAGGGCGCAAAAAGUCCAGCAAAAUCCUCUGUGCACAUAAGUAGGCUCUCGAGUGGUGACUCUGUGGAAGAAAGCAUCUACGACAAUUUACCCUGCUCACCAAGAAAACAGCGGCGCCAGGACAAGCACUGUGAAGUCUCCCAAACUGAGCCUAGAUCUCCCUCCUCGCCUCUCACCCCAGGUCAAAGUAUUGCCAUACUAUUUACGCACAACUCUGAUCAAAAAACAUCUGGGAAACAAACACCAACAACAUUGAAGACCCAAACAAAUGAGUUUGUUUCUUCAUCACAUACUGAAAUUCUUGACCCCCUAAAAGACAAUCAACAAACAGCUCAACAAAGAGGUGCUGAAUGUAAACCUAUGAAAGAUAUACCUACCAAUAUUCACCACACCCACAAGAUACCACCUGUCCCCAUACAAGAAUCCCAGCCUCCUGAGUCAGUCCAGUUAUGCACUCACAGAAACGCCCCAUCUCUUGGAGAAAAUGCAGCUGCUGCAAUAUUUCCCCAUCCAAGCAUCCUUCACAGAUCUCAACAGAGCAUUAGUGAGCCAAAGCUUUCAGAAUUUAUGCCACCAGUGUACUCUAACAUUUAUUACCAUGGAAAUUCCCAAAAUCCACCAUCUUCCUCAUCGAGGGCUAUGAAGAGGACUUUCCCUGCUAAUGCUAAAUCUCAUGAAGCAAUUGCUGGUCAAGAUACAAGUACCUUCCUUGUUUUUGGAAGACAACACAAAGAUGAUCUGAAAAGUGCACAAACCUUUCAAACUUUUACUUGUGACCCCCACGUGUGCCACAGUGGGGCACAUGACAAAGUUCAUAGAAAGAUUGAGACUCGUUGUAGUUCCCUAGACUCUGAGCCUGUUCGACCUGUUGCCACAGACAGCAGUGUGAUGUUAGACUGGGGAUUCGAUGAGGAAGGUUGGCUGUUCAAACGCUCAGUGUCUGUUUCCACCAGGCCUCUUUUCAAACCUGUAAUGGGCAUGAAUGGUGCAAAGGCUCGCAGUCAGAGCUUUGGUGCACGCUACAUGGACCGGCCGAGCUUCAAUAGAUCCGGUAAAGUUCGCACUCAGAUCAAAACACACUCUGGGAGCUCUUUGAAUUCUCUUGGGGAUGUCCUUCCUGGUAGUAUGAGUUGCUCCAGUAGUUACCAUUGUCCAAUGAAUAGAUCCCUUUUGAACAACUUUUUGAUUGAAGAGGGACUAACUGUUCCCACGCAGUUGGGUUCCUCCAGUGAAAGGCUUCAGAGCCUGAAACUUCAACGAGAGCAAGCUAGGCGGGUUCAGAUUGAGCAACAAUUUUCCAGCGCCUUUGGGGAGCCAGUCUCAGAAGAACCAGAAAGACAAAGUACCAUAACCACCAUUGAAGAGAAAGUUAUGCUUGGAAUUGAGGAGAACUUGCACAAAUCUCAGGAACAAGAGAGAACGAAUGAAAUCAAGCAAAAGUCUGGCUCAAGUCUUGCAAAUUGGUUUGGUUUUCGUAAAAGUAAGCUGCCGGCACCAAGUAACAAGAAGGCCGAACCAGUCAAAGUCAAAGAGGAAAAACGGGAGCAAAAAAUUACAUCACUUUUGGGAGGGAAGAAUGCAAAGUCUGACAAAAAGAAAGAACGAAGGAAGAGUGAUGGAAAAGAAAGCUCUGUUGGAAGAAGAGAGUCUCAUGAUGCAGUGAGGGCAUGCAUCUCAAUGCCCUGCCCAGGAAUGUCAAUGAGUGAAAUUCAGGGACACACAAACGUCAUCGGGGAACCAAAGUUGCAGGUGAUGAGUCUGAGAGCUGAUGAUGACAAAGGUUCCACGGUGAAGAAUGUCCCCAAGGAUGCAGUAAUAGGUGGAGUGGAGCCAAAGAAAAUGACUAACAUCAAAUCGAAAGGACAUGUCACUCCAGGUCAACAGAAAGAUCAGACCAGGCUUCAGCUUGCCAACUAAAAUCUGAAGCUGUGAGAGCUGGCUUGAAGGAGAAACGAAGAAAUCGAUUAUCUCUCUACCAUAUAUAGAAGAUCCAUAAAAUUCUACACUUUAAAUAUGGUGUCUGCGUGUGCGGAUUAACACCCAAGAAUGAACAGCAUGUGGCAUUAAAGGCUCCCUUGCAGUGCAAAGAUACAGUGGGGAGUCAAGUUCUCUGGCAAACAUUUACGGAAGACCACACCUUACUGGCAGCAGCUGUGAACAACAAACGGAACCUCUAAAUGUGCAACCCCCGACAUUUAUUGACAACUUUUCGGCUGUGUACAUAGCACUUGAUCAAUUUCUAUGUAGCUACUUUCCUUCUCAACCAGCAAAUAAGGAGUGCAUGUGAGCCAAACAUAUCACUCAGUCAGCUGAAGUAUCCAUGGCAUGAGAACAGCAGCUGCAUUCAAGUUCCUUCAGGACCACAGAACACAUGUUUGCAUCUGAUGGAAUCAUUUAUUUAUGUUUAUUUAUGAAGUGUAAAGGAAUGCAUUUAGAAAAAUAUUAGGCACACCAGAAAAAAACAAAUCCUUUAAAGGAAGGAGACCUGACGGGAGUAAAAUGGCAUUAUACAUACAAUAAAAUCUAUUUUCUUAUUUAUUUAUUUAUUUAUUUAUUGAGUUUCAAACUCAACAACUCUGUUCAAGAAGAUCAUCUAAAAUCAAGUGUGGUUAAAUUAUAGUUGUAGAGAAAGAAAUCAUUAAAAAAAAACUAAAGACCCUUGUUUAACCAACAGAAAACACUUCUAAUGUUUUUACUGGCAUAGAAAUGAAAUUACUUUUAUUAUUAAUUUAUGCCCAUUUUUAUGGAUGAUUUUUUGAUGAUUCCUUUAAAUAAAGAAAAAAGAAAAAAGGGUUUGAUGUAAAACAUUUUUAGGGAGUAAUACAGUUAGAGCAACAACAAGGAUAAUUAACACAAAUGUUCACAGAAUUUAUGAAGGUAUUUUUAGAUGUAGCCAGGAAAAACAGACAAUGAAUUAAAUAUACAAUUUUUCAAGAUAUAACUUGUUGGAUGGAAAUGAUAACUAUUUUAAAUAUCGGACAAAUGCACAUAGAUUGUUAAAGGUGAGUUCUCCAUUAGACUAAAAAAGCUAAAUAAAAUGCUUUAUGUUGGAGCGUGAAACUAAAAAUGUGUGUAGAAAGUAAUUAUUUCUACCCGCAAUUCUUUCAUACCAUAUCCAUAAAUAUUGAGGAAAAAAUACAGCAAUAGAAAAAACCUUUCAUCUUAUUUUACCUUAGGUUUUCCAUUCAUGCAUUUUUUGUUGGUGCUUUAUCAGAUUCAGGGUGGCCUGCAGUCUCUUGAGGUUGGUUUCUGAAGCGAAAAAAAGCACAAUAAUUUCAAAAAGGUACAUACGUGUUUUUUUCUAAACAAGGGUUUGAUAAGGAAUCAGAUAGUCUCCAAUCACUUUCCAGGCAUUCUUUGUUUGUUUGUUUUUGCCACACAGCGGGCAAUGGAUGAGUACCUCUGAUGACCCAAAAAUAACAAAACUGCCUUCAAGUACAUUGUAAUUCUCAUUAUGUGCAUGUUAAAAAUACUACUUAAAAAUAUUAAGGUGCAAUAUAGAUCUUAGAUGUCAUAGUUUUGAACUGGCAUCAGUUGGAAUCUCAUCAGUCAUGUCUGAAGCGUAUCUUGUGUACAGCACUAACUGUUGGAUGCCAUUUCUGAACCUGUGAUUCUGUAACGUGUCUACUAGCAAUUCUAAGAUGUCCUAUGUUAAUCGCAACAAUGGUAAUUCCGUAUGCAUGCAACAAGCUGGGUUUGUCCAAAUCUAAUAUCAUAACCAUGAACUUUGUUGCAAGUAAACACAUUUUAUUCUACAAAUCUUGACUUUGUUAAAUAUUUCAUUAUCAUUACAGUUAACCUUUUAUUGCUCUAUGAGUGUUUCUUUUCAUAUAAAGGAAAAUGUCUUUUUUUUUAAUUGAUGAUUACAUCUAUUUGUUUGAAGUGUCUAUAUUUCCACAGUAAUGACAUCAAGAUAAAAUGUAUUUUUGCUUGUAACCUUAAGUUAAAGAGUUGGAGCAUAGUGGACGUUGUUUUACUAGCUCAGGGAAAAUACCAAUUGUUGUCUGUGAUAGAUGCUGUGGAUUAAAGAAGUACACUGCACCUCGAAUAAGGCUAACUACUUAUUUAAACAAAAGCACCAGGUGUCAUUGUUCAUGUUUCAGUUUAGAGUAGCCAACAUAUAAUCAGUAUCUUCUUAUUGUCAGACCACGAUCACUCAGUCUUUCUGUUGUAUAUGCUGUUUUUUUCUAUAACUGCUUUGUGUCAUAACUGCAUUCCCACAUAUUUAGCAAUUGAAGCUGCUUUGCGGCAUUUCCCUGCCACACCUUUGUCUCUGCUUCUCAUGUGUACAUAUUUGGCUCAAUGCAUAUAGCCAAACUGCUCGGAGCUCGUGACAUAUUUAAACAGAUUGCAACUACAUCUUAACAUCAGACUCGUCAUUGUGACUAUAGCCAUAUUUUUUUGGAAAACACUUGAGACAGUUUGCAGGUUUAAGCACUGUAGCAUUGCACACUGAUUAGUCUUGUUAUUCUACUUUAUUUACCUCUUCUUCCAUUAUGCACUUAAGAAGUACGUAUAUUUCGAAGGAAGUAUCUGUAAAAACUGCAGCGAUGUUUACAGCAAUAGCAACACGUGUAUAAAAAAGAAAGGUACACAGGUGAGAGGAAUAUUAGGGGACAGACUUACUGAGCUGAUACGGGUAGGCGGAGCAUCUGUAUAUUAAAAUGACUCGCGUAAAGAAUAGCAUCACUUUCACAAGAGUGUUGUAUUUUUCUAAAAAGGUACUUUAAUUUCUUGUGUUGCUAUUUGGCACUAAUAAAUGUAUGUUUAUUGCACGUAUUGUUUCUCACUAUCACUUUAAACUGUCCUUAAUGUUUUUCCAUUUAGAACCUAGUUAAAACAGUGAUGUUCUAGUGUCAAAGUCACCUAUAGUAUGGACUCAUAAUUGUUUACUACCAAUAUUCUUUGUUUUAUGUCAAAGACUGAAAAAAAUAAACUAUUUCAAUACUUAUUUAUGUUCCAAGGUGUUUGAUUGAUUGAAUACCUUUACCAGCAAUGUUAAAAAGCUGCAGCUGAGACUGUUUCAACAAGACGAUACUUCUGGUUUGCUGCUUCUGCUGAGUACAGUCAUGGUGGUGGAGUGGUAAUGAGUUGGGCUCGUUUUUAUUGCGAAACAACAAUGCAGUAUGGGAAACGAAUUAAUUUUCAGCAAAAAACAUUUCCAAAAUUAAAUCUUGUAAUGUUAUCUCCUUGUAGUUCUUCAUUAAAUACUUUACAGCAUUGUGCAUCAGAACUUUGACAAACAGAAAAGCAAGCUUUCAGAUAUAUUGAGGGGAAUUAACUUACACAAACCAGC